rnacentral:rRNA from 1 species
GACGGGGGAUGCAAGCGUUAUCCGGAAUCACUGGGCGUAAAGCGUCUGUAGGUGGUGAUGCAAGUCACUGGUGCAAAACUCUGGCUCAACCGGAGGAAAGCCAGUGAAACUGCAUGACUAGAGUGUGGGAGAGGUAGAAGGAAUUCCCUGAGUAGCGGUGAAAUGCGUAGAUACAGGGAAGAACACCGGCGGCGAAAGCGUUCUACUGGAACACAACUGACACUGAGACAAGAAAGCUAGGGGAGCGAAUGGG